GACGAACGCUGGCGGCGUGCUUAACACAUGCAAGUCGAACGGAAAGGCCCUGCUUUUGUGGGGUGCUCGAGUGGCGAACGGGUGAGUAACACGUGAGUAACCUGCCCUUGACUUUGGGAUAACUUCAGGAAACUGGGGCUAAUACCGGAUAGGAGCUCCUGCUGCAUGGUGGGGGUUGGAAAGUAUCGGCGGUUGGGGAUGGACUCGCGGCUUAUCAGCUUGUUGGUGGGGUAGUGGCUUACCAAGGCUUUGACGGGUAGCCGGCCUGAGAGGGUGACCGGCCACAUUGGGACUGAGAUACGGCCCAGACUCCUACGGGAGGCAGCAGUGGGGAAUAUUGCACAAUGGGCGGAAGCCUGAUGCAGCAACGCCGCGUGCGGGAUGACGGCCUUCGGGUUGUAAACCGCUUUCGCCUGUGACGAAGCGUGAGUGACGGUAAUGGGUAAAGAAGCACCGGCUAACUACGUGCCAGCAGCCGCGGUGAUACGUAGGGUGCGAGCGUUGUCCGGAUUUAUUGGGCGUAAAGGGCUCGUAGGUGGUUGAUCGCGUCGGAAGUGUAAUCUUGGGGCUUAACCCUGAGCGUGCUUUCGAUACGGGUUGACUUGAGGAAGGUAGGGGGAGAAUGGAAUUCCUGGUGGAGCGGUGGAAUGCGCAGAUAUCAGGAGGAACACCAGUGGCGAAGGCGGUUCUCUGGGCCUUUCCUGACGCUGAGGAGCGAAAGCGUGGGGAGCGAACAGGCUUAGAUACCCUGGUAGUCCACGCUGUAAACGGUGGGUACUAGGUGUGGGGUCCAUUCCACGGGUUCCGUGCCGUAGCUAACGCUUUAAGUACCCCGCCUGGGGAGUACGGCCGCAAGGCUAAAACUCAAAGGAAUUGACGGGGCCCCGCACAAGCGGCGGAGCAUGCGGAUUAAUUCGAUGCAACGCGUAGAACCUUACCUGGGUUUGACAUGGAUCGGGAGUGCUCAGAGAUGGGUGUGCCUCUUUUGGGGUCGGUUCACAGGUGGUGCAUGGCUGUCGUCAGCUCGUGUCGUGAGAUGUUGGGUUAAGUCCCGCAACGAGCGCAACCCUUGUUCACUGUUGCCAGCACGUUAUGGUGGGGACUCAGUGGAGACCGCCGGGGUCAACUCGGAGGAAGGUGGGGAUGACGUCAAGUCAUCAUGCCCCUUAUGUCCAGGGCUUCACGCAUGCUACAAUGGCUGGUACAGAGAGUGGCGAGCCUGUGAGGGUGAGCGAAUCUCGGAAAGCCGGUCUCAGUUCGGAUUGGGGUCUGCAACUCGACCUCAUGAAGUCGGAGUCGCUAGUAAUCGCAGAUCAGCAACGCUGCGGUGAAUACGUUCCCGGG
rnacentral:rRNA from 1 species